AAAGAACAAAUGGCAGAGGAAGAGAAGACUUGGUAGAUGGAGUCUUAUUCUGUCACCAAGGCUGGAGCACAACAUCAGCUCAUUGCAACCUCUGCCUCCCAGGUUCAAGUGAUUCUCCUGCUUCAGCCUCCCAAGUAGCUGGGACUACAGAAAACAUUGUUGUUUGUAAUCACACUCUACAAACUUUACAAGAAGGGCUCACAUAUUUUUGAGGCUUUGCUAGCCAACCCAGAAGGAAGUGGUCUCCGAAUUCAAGACAAUAAUAAUCUUUUCCUGUCCUUGGGUCUGCAAGAGAAAAUUUUGAAAAAACUUCAGACAGUGGAAAACAAAAUGAAGAACCUAGAAGGGAUAAUCGUUGCUCAAAAACCUGCCACGAAGAGGGAUUGCUCCUCUGAGCCCUACUGCAGCUGCUCUGACUGCCAGAGUCCCUUGUCCACAUCAGGGUUUACUUCCCCCACUUGAAAUGUGAUGGACUCCAAUCUUUUCCAGGAAAGCACUGUUUCCCUCAUGUGUGCAGUGGUGUAUCAAUAAAGAUAGAGAACGCUAUUGAA
rnacentral:sRNA from 1 species